rnacentral:misc_RNA from 1 species
AAACCUCUCAGCUGAAAUUUAUUUUUCAGUUGGUCAUGGGCCUGCGGAGGACUAGCCAUUAUGGCUGCUCCCGCCUUAAAAUUGCUGCACGACCGCAAGCUAUUGCUAGGUUAAUGGAGUGGUGUUUACAUUAUAUUCCAGCAAUUUACUGCAAUGCUUGGUGGCGUUAAACCUGAUGUUUGCGCAAGCAGACUCUGAA